GGUUAUGGCAUGGAGUGUAGUAAUUUCAUGAAAGAGAAAGGAAGCAAAUAUCACUUGCAAAAAGCUCUAGCUAACAGGUACUUGUUAUUGCUAGUCAAAGAGUAGUUCUUAUGAUAAGUUUAGGAACAAGUUUUAUAAUCUUUAUCAUUAUUCUGAAUGCUUAUAUGAUCUGGACGUCGUAGUAUUUUAUUAUUCUUCAAUUUCUCGUGUGAACCAAUAAGAUAUGUUAGGCCUAUAUAUAUUAUGCAUUGCAAACCUAAGGCUGAGAACUUUUCUGGUUUCUUACCAACUCUUGUAGUUUCAUGUAUCAAAAGCUGGCUCAAGAGAUGAACAGAUAAGUUUGAUCAAAGAUUUGGAAAGGAAAGAGACGGAGUACAAGGACGGAGUUCAAGAGACUGAGAAAGAACAAGAUAUGUGUAGAUGAUAAAUUUGCCAACAACAUUUCCACUAGACAUGAGACUAAGGAACAUGAAUCAUUAUUUGUUACUAUUAACUAAAGUUUUAGAAUUUGUAUUGAUGCUCAAUAUUAUUA